AUUCAACGUGCAAGACCCAAAAUUGGGCAACACUUUCUCUAUAAAUAGAGUCUCCUCCUUCUCAACUCAGUUUGUUGAAGUUGUCUGAUAAUUAGCUAUAGAAAGUUAGUGAGGUAAAAUUGAAGAGCAAUUGGAGAAUUGAGGAGCUAUAUAGUUAACAAUUUCAAGCAUUCAAGAGGUAAUAAUGCUGAAUAUAUGCUCUUGAUUUCAAAGUUUUAUAAUUUCAUAGAAAUUUCAUGAAAUACUUGUUAAUUGAGUCAAAAAUUGAUCACUAAAACUUGUUACAAUUUAUUAAUUGAUGUUAGAUGUUGUUAAUAUGGUUAAAUACAAAAACAACGAAAGUUAAAUGGAUCAAUUUGGUCCAGAAACGAAUCUGUGGUGAAGGAAUUCGCUAAACAUGAUAAAUUAUGGAAAAUAAGAUGAAGUUUGAAUUUGAAUCACCAAAUUGGUUGUUUAUAUGGUUUGAGAAUUGCUAUCAUGUUAUUUGAGUAUUAUAUGCAUGUAUAGAAGCAAUGUGAUUAGUUUAAGCAUGU
rnacentral:lncRNA from 1 species